rnacentral:rRNA from 1 species
ACAUGCAAGUCGAGCGGCAAGUCGAGGAGUAAUCUGAGACCUAGAGCGGCGCACGGGUGCGUAACGCGUAUGCAACCUACCCUUUACCGGGGGAUAGCCCGGGGAAACCCGGAUUAAUACCCCAUAGUAUACAGAGACUGCAUGGUUUUUAUAUUAAAGAUUUAUCGGUAAGGGAUGGGCAUGCGUAGGAUUAGUUAGUUGGCGGGGUAACGGCCCACCAAGACUGUGAUCCUUAGGGGUUCUGAGAGGAAGGUCCCCCACACUGGCACUGAGAUACGGGCCAGACUCCUACGGGAGGCAGCAGUAGGGAAUAUUGGGCAAUGGGCGGGAGCCUGACCCAGCCAUGCCGCGUGCAGGAAGAAGGCGUUAUGCGUUGUAAACUGCUUUUAUACGGGAAGAAAAGGCCCAUGCGUGGGACAUUGCCGGUACCGUAUGAAUAAGCACCGGCUAACUCCGUGCCAGCAGCCGCGGUAAUACGGAGGGUGCAAGCGUUGUCCGGAUUUAUUGGGUUUAAAGGGUGCGUAGGCGGCCCGUUAAGUCAGCGGUGAAAGUCUGUGGCUCAACCAUAGAAGCGCCGUUGAUACUGAUGGGCUUGAGUGCCGUAUGGGUACAUGGAAUUGAUGGUGUAGCGGUGAAAUGCAUAGAUACCAUCAGGAACACCGAUAGCGUAGGCA